UCUACAUUCCUUUGGACAGCUGUCUGC
rnacentral:piRNA from 1 species